rnacentral:rRNA from 1 species
GCCGGUAAUACGUAGGGUGCAAGCGUUAAUCGGAAUACUGGGCGUAAAGCGUGCGCAGGCGGUUAUGUAAGACAGAUGUGAAAUGCCCGGGCUUAACCUGGGAACUGCAUUGUGACUGCAUGGCUAGAGUUUGGCAGAGGGGGGGUAGAAUUCCACGUGUAGCAGUGAAAUGCGUAGAUAUGUGGAGGAACACCGAUGGCGAAGGCAGCCCCCUGGGUCAAGACUGACGCUCAUGCACGAAAGCGUGGGAGCAAACAGG